UCCCAGGCCACAGCCAAAUGGAACCAUCUGCACCAUGAAGCUGAAGAUAAAGCCGCAGAAAGAUUGCUGUAUUGUGAGUGGAGAAGAGCCCUGCUUCUCUUCACUGGCUGAUGUGCAGACAUUUAUUAGUAAAUCUUCACGGCGGUCUAGGGAGGCCUUUGACUGAGCGCUGUUCAUCGAGUCCAGCCCCGGCUUUGCAAAUAAACAGCUGACACCAAGAGAGGAGAAGCAACACGGCUGAGGCCACAGGGUGACAAAGCCUUAACAGCAAGAAGGGGAGAAGGCAGUCAUCUGGAAACGAGGAAGACAGCCCUCACCAGAAACUGACACUGUUGGACCUCGAUCUUGGACUUGCAGCCUCUAGAAUUGCAAGAAAAUAAAUUUAAGCUGUGGACUCUG
rnacentral:lncRNA from 1 species